rnacentral:rRNA from 1 species
UACGGAGGGGGCAAGCGUUGUUCGGAAUUACUGGGCGUAAAGGGCUCGUAGGCGGCCAGCUAAGUCAUACGUGAAAUCCCUCAGCUUAACUGGGGAACUGCGUGUGAUACUGGAUGGCUUGGAUUUGGGAGAGGGAUGCGGAAUUCCAGGUGUAGCGGUGAAAUGCGUAGAUAUCUGGAGGAACACCGGUGGCGAAGGCGGCAUCCUGGACCAAUAUUGACGCUGAGGAGCGAAAGCCAGGGGAGCAAACGGG